UGAGUAACACGUAUCCAACCUGCCGUCUACUCUUGGACAGCCUUCUGAAAGGAAGAUUAAUACAAGAUGGCAUCAUGAGUCCUCAUGUUCACAUGAUUAAAGGUAUUCCGGUAGACGAUGGGGAUGCGUUCCAUUAGAUAGUAGGCGGGGUAACGGCCCACCUAGUCUUCGAUGGAUAGGGGUUCUGAGAGGAAGGUCCCCCACAUUGGAACUGAGACACGGUCCAA
rnacentral:rRNA from 1 species